rnacentral:rRNA from 1 species
AUUGAACGCUGGCGGUAUGCUUAAGACAUGCAAGUCGAACGGUAACAGGUUAAGCUGACGAGUGGCGGACGAGUGAGUAACGCGUGGGAAUCUACCUUGUAGUGGGGGAUAAGCCAGGGAAACUUGGACUAAUACCGCAUACGCCCUAAGGGGAAAGGGCGCAAGUCGCUAUAAGAUGAGCCCGCGUCUGAUUAGGUAGUUGGUGGGGUAAAGGCCUACCAAGCCGACGAUCAGUAGCUGGUCUGAGAGGAUGAUCAGCCACGUCGGGACUGAGACACGGCCCGGACUCCUACGGGAGGCAGCAGUCGGGAAUAUUGGACAAUGGGGGAAACCCUGAUCCAGCAAUACCGCGUGUGUGAAGAAGGCCUGCGGGUUGUAAAGCACUUUCAGUUGGGAAGAUAAUGACGUUACCAACAGAAGAAGCACCGGCUAACUCCGUG